GCGUCUGUAGCCUAGUUGGUAAAGGCAGCACUCUAGUAUGUGUCUCAGCAUAGCUGAGGUCGUGAGCUCGACUCUCACCAGACACA
rnacentral:tRNA from 1 species